UCACUUCGAAAUUAUACAGUAAGCCACUUGUGUUUUCAUUUUAUUCUUAUUUCAGUUUUUGUCACCAGCCUGGAAUUAGUCCAAUGAUGCAUGACAGCCCCACCUCUGGCGACAUGCAGAUUGGUCCCAUUUUCCAGACAGGGAGCAGCUGCAGCAGUGCGAGAGGUGAGGGGGUGCAGUGGACUGAGGGAGAGAGGAGUACUUGCACAACUGCUUCUGAAACAUCUUGCCAAGAAUACUGCAGAGACCAUUCCAGGAUCAACCAUCAACAAUAAAGAAACAAGGAGUCAGGAAAUGCAAGCAGAAAGUGGAUUGGAGUAACACUUACGCUUGAGAAAGUGAAACUGCAGAUUGGA
rnacentral:lncRNA from 1 species